rnacentral:piRNA from 1 species
UAAUAUAAGGAGGGGCAUUAUCUGU